rnacentral:rRNA from 1 species
CCUACGGGUGGCAGCAGUGGGGAAUAUUGCACAAUGGGGGCAACCCUGAUGCAGCGACGCCGCGUGGGUGAAGGAGUCUUUCUGUGUGUAAAGCCCUAUCAGCAGGGAAGAACAAUGCCGUUACCUGACUACGACGCACCGGCUAAAUACGUGCCAGCAGCCGCGGUAAUACGUAUGGUGCAAGCGUUAUCCGGAUUUACUGGGUGUACAGGGAGCGCAGGCGGCGCGUUAAGCCUGGUGUGAAAGCCCGCGGCCCAACCGCGGGACUGCAUUGGGAACUGGCGCGCUGGAGUGCAGGAGGGGUAGGCGGAAUUUAUAGUGUAGCGGUGAAAUGCGUAGAGAUUAGGAUGAACACCAGUGGCGAAGGCGGCUUACUGGACGGUGACUGACGCUGAGGCUCGAAAGCGUGGGGAGCAAACAGGAUUAGAUACCCCAGUAGUC